rnacentral:rRNA from 1 species
GGAAUCUUCCACAAUGGGCGAAAACCUGAUGGAGCAACGCCGCGUGUGUGAUGAAGGGUUUCGGCUCGUAAAACACUGUUGUAAGAGAAGAAUGACAUUGAGAGUAACUGUUCAAUGUGUGACGGUAUCUUACCAGAAAGGAACGGCUAAAUACGUGCCAC